CGUGCCGCCUCCAAAGGGGGAGUUGGAUCUCCAGGACGUCGCCGCCGCAAGACUUCCCCACGGCAACCCCAACGCCAGCUCCCACAGCGCCGCAUGUGGCGUUCGCGCCUGCACGUCGACGGCUGGCUCACGUCUGGACAUGGCCUUCGCGUCUCGUCGACGCCGGCGUGAUCAUGACUGGACACGGCCGCCGGCGGGGACGACCCCAUUGAUCGAUCUAUGUCACGGUUCGGAGGCCGGAACGACGGGGGCUAGUACGCUGCUACGACUACCUAUGGAUCCAUUGUCCUCUUAAUAUUCAACCAUGAUGUGCAUAUCAGGCCAGGAUUCGAUCGCCUCCGUCGUACCUUCGAGCACGGCCGGCGUCGCCACACCCAAAGCGAUGAAACUCGCAGGCAUUCUUGGCCAUCAGCCUCCACUACCGGUAAUCCAGAGGUCUUUCAAGUGUUGUUUGAUUUGCUGCACAUUGCCCGUUUAAUUUAUUUUAAUUAUUAUCAGCGAUGAUGCAUCGGUGUCUUGUCCGUGCUUUUACCAGUCAAUUAUACUUCCUCCGUUUCUAAAUAUAAGUCUUUUUAGCCAUUUUAAAUGGACUACAACAUACGGAUGUAUGUAGACAUAUUUUAGAGUGUAGAUUCAUUCAUUUUGCUCCGUAUGUAGUCACUUAUUAGAAUCUUUACAAAGACUUAUAUUUAGGAACGGGAGUACAUGUCUUUGAUGCUAAAAACACACCUCUUCUUGACAAUCCAUUCUGCGUAUCCUAUUUAGCUCAUAUUGGCAAAUGGCGAGUCAAUAAAAUGCAAGGUUGUUGGACAUUCUGAAAGGUACUACAUUUUAUUUCCUUCCGGUUAGAAACUGCUUAUAAUCCCUUUUUUCAAGAUCAAAGUUUUUAAUACCUAACAGCGAAAACUUUGAAAAUCUUGUGCCUCGUUAGAACAAAGGUUCCUUAUAAUCUGGCCUUUCUAAAGUAGAACACAAUUAUUCUAUCUCACACGCUAUAUAAAUAUUUCUGAAAAUCACUGUGCUACGUAGGGCACUGCAGUUACCUUUUUUCUUUUUGGUUAUGAGAAUUCAUAUGACAUAGUAGAUUAAUUGAAGUUACAUUCUGCAUUUUUUUUAAUCGGGAAGAUCAUUUCUUGCGGGCUGCAGGUUUUGAUUGCUUAUUUGCUACAUGAUUUCUUAUGUCACUUUUGUUAGAGUUAUAAUAUAAGUCAUGUAUACCCCUUUGUAUUUAUCCCGUUGUAUAAGGGGUUUCCUGCAUAUGUACCACACCUGUACGUAUAUAUAUACCGGCCUAUGGCCUCAUGGGAAUACAAGUUGCUUAUUCCUAA